rnacentral:rRNA from 1 species
AUUGAACGCUGGCGGAAUGCUUUACACAUGCAAGUCGAACGGCAGCACGGGGCAACCUGGUGGCGAGUGGCGAACGGGUGAGUAAUACAUCGGAACGUGCCCAAUCGUGGGGGGAUAACGUAGCGAAAGUUACGCUAAUACCGCAUACGAUCUACGGAUGAAAGCGGGGGAUCGCAAGACCUCGCGCGAUUGGAGCGGCCGAUGUCAGAUUAGGUAGUUGGUGGGGUAAAGGCUCACCAAGCCGACGAUCUGUAGCUGGUCUGAGAGGACGACCAGCCACACUGGGACUGAGACACGGCCCAGACUCCUACGGGAGGCAGCAGUGGGGAAUUUUGGACAAUGGGCGCAAGCCUGAUCCAGCCAUUCCGCGUGCAGGAUGAAGGCCUU